rnacentral:rRNA from 1 species
GAUGAACGCUGGCGGCGUGCCUAAUACAUGCAAGUCGAGCGAACGGACGAGAAGCUUGCUUCUCUGAUGUUAGCGGCGGACGGGUGAGUAACACGUGGAUAACCUACCUAUAAGACUGGGAUAACUUCGGGAAACCGGAGCUAAUACCGGAUAAUAUUUUGAACCGCAUGGUUCAAAAGUGAAAGACGGUCUUGCUGUCACUUAUAGAUGGAUCCGCGCUGCAUUAGCUAGUUGGUAAGGUAACGGCUUACCAAGGCAACGAUGCAUAGCCGACCUGAGAGGGUGAUCGGCCACACUGGAACUGAGACACGGUCCAGACUCCUACGGGAGGCAGCAGUAGGGAAUCUUCCGCAAUGGGCGAAAGCCUGACGGAGCAACGCCGCGUGAGUGAUGAAGGUCUUCGGAUCGUAAAACUCUGUUAUUAGGGAAGAACAUAUGUGUAGGUAACUGUGCACAUCUUGACGGUACCUAAUCAGAAAGCCACGGCUAACUACGUGCCAGCAGCCGCGGUAAUACGUAGGUGGCAAGCGUUAUCCGGAAUUAUUGGGCGUAAAGCGCGCGUAGGCGGUUUUUUAGUCUGAUGUGAAAGCCCACGGCUCAACCGUGGAGGGUCAUUGGAAACUGGAAAACUUGAGUGCAGAAGAGGAAAGUGGAAUUCCAUGUGUAGCGGUGAAAUGCGCAGAGAUAUGGAGGAACACCAGUGGCGAAGGCGACUUUCUGGUCUGUAACUGACGCUGAUGUGCGAAAGCGUGGGGAUCAAACAGGAUUAGAUACCCUGGUAGUCCACGCCGUAAACGAUGAGUGCUAAGUGUUAGGGGGUUUCCGCCCCUUAGUGCUGCAGCUAACGCAUUAAGCACUCCGCCUGGGGAGUACGACCGCAAGGUUGAAACUCAAAGGAAUUGACGGGGACCCGCACAAGCGGUGGAGCAUGUGGUUUAAUUCGAAGCAACGCGAAGAACCUUACCAAAUCUUGACAUCCUUUGACAACUCUAGAGAUAGAGCUUUCCCCUUCGGGGGACAAAGUGACAGGUGGUGCAUGGUUGUCGUCAGCUCGUGUCGUGAGAUGUUGGGUUAAGUCCCGCAACGAGCGCAACCCUUAAGCUUAGUUGCCAUCAUUAAGUUGGGCACUCUAAGUUGACUGCCGGUGACAAACCGGAGGAAGGUGGGGAUGACGUCAAAUCAUCAUGCCCCUUAUGAUUUGGGCUACACACGUGCUACAAUGGACAAUACAAAGGGCAGCGAAACCGUGAGGUCAAGCAAAUCCCAUAAAGUUGUUCUCAGUUCGGAUUGUAGUCUGCAACUCGACUACAUGAAGCUGGAAUCGCUAGUAAUCGUAGAUCAGCAUGCUACGGUGAAUACGUUCCCGGGUCU